AGCGAUUUAAGUGAAGUUUUCGGAUGGACCUUAAAUUGACUGAGCGGCGGACGGGUGAGUAACGCGUGGAUAACCUGCCUCACACAGGGGGAUAACAGUUAGAAAUGACUGCUAAUACCGCAUAAGCGCACGGUACCGCAUGGUACAGUGUGAAAAACUCCGGUGGUGUGAGAUGGAUCCGCGUCUGAUUAGGUAGUUGGUGAGGUAACGGCCCACCAAGCCGACGAUCAGUAGCCGACCUGAGAGGGUGACCGGCCACAUUGGGACUGAGACACGGCCCAAACUCCUACGGGAGGCAGCAGUGGGGAAUAUUGCACAAUGGGCGAAAGCCUGAUGCAGCAACGCCGCGUGAGUGAAGAAGUAUCUCGGUAUGUAAAGCUCUAUCAGCAGGGAAGAAAAUGACGGUACCUGACUAAGAAGCCCCGGCUAACUACGUGCCAGCAGCCGCGGUAAUACGUAGGGGGCAAGCGUUAUCCGGAUUUACUGGGUGUAAAGGGAGCGCAGACGGCACUGCAAGUCUGAAGUGAAAGCCCGGGGCUCAACCCCGGGACUGCUUUGGAAACUGUAGAGCUAGAGUGCUGGAGAGGCAAGCGGAAUUCCUAGUGUAGCGGUGAAAUGCGUAGAUAUUAGGAAGAACACCAGUGGCGAAGGCGGCUUGCUGGACAGUAACUGACGUUCAGGCUCGAAAGCGUGGGGAGCAAACAGGAUUAGAUACCCUGGUAGUCCACGCUGUAAACGAUGAAUACUAGGUGUUGGUGGGCAA
rnacentral:rRNA from 1 species